rnacentral:lncRNA from 1 species
CCGGCUUGUCUCACCUCGUUAAAAAAUCUCCGUAUCGUUGAUCUCAUCGGAAACAAAAUCACCGGCCAAAUCCCGGCGAACAUCGGUCAGCUGAGUAAACUCGCCGUCCUUAACCUCGCCGACAACCAAAUCUCCGGUUCAAUCCCCGGCUCAAUAGUCAAUCUCGGAAAAUUAAUGCACCUUGACCUCAGCAACAAUCAGCUCUCCGGCGAAAUUCCGUCCGAUAUCGGAAAACUCAGCAUGAUGAGCAGAGCACUAAUCAACAAGAACAAACUCACCGGUUCAAUCCCGAACUCAAUCUCCAAACUCUACCGGUUAGCCGAUCUCGAUUUAGCAAUGAACCCCUCUGCAAACUCGAUGGCCUUACUACCCUCAUCGUCGCCGACUGGAAAGAUAUCUCCGGCGAACUUCCGGCUUGUCUCACUUCGUUAAAAAAUCUCCGUAUCGUUGAUCUCAUCGGAAACAAAAUCACCGGCAAAAUUCCGGCGAACAUCGGUCAGCUGAGUAAACUCGCCGUCCUUAACCUCGCCGACAACCAAAUCUCCGGUUCAAUCCCCGGCUCAAUCGUCAAUCUCGGAAAAUUAAUGCACCUUGACCUCAGCAACAAUCAGCUCUCCGGCGAAAUUCCGUCCGAUAUCGGAAAACUCAGCAUGAUGAGCAGAGCACUAAUCAACAAGAACAAACUCACCGGUUCAAUCCCGAACUCAAUCUCCAAACUCUACCGGUUAGCCGAUCUCGAUUUAGCAAUGAACCAAAUUACCGGUUCAAUCCCAGCUCAGCUCGGUUCAAUGCCUGUUCUCUCAACCCUAAACCUAGACUCAAACCAACUCUCCGGUUCAAUUCCCACUAAUCUACUCAGUAGCCCCGGUUUAAACAUCCUCAACUUAAGUAGAAACUCAUUAGAAGGAUUAUUACCCGAUGUUUUUGGUUCAAAAACAUAUUUUACACAUCUCGAUUUAUCGUACAAUAAUCUUAGGGGUUCAAUUCCUAAAUCAUUAGCUUCAGCUAAGUACAUUGGUCAUUUGGAUUUGAGCUACAAUCAUCUUUGUGGCCCGAUUCCAAACGGGUCCCCAUUUGACCAUUUAGAGGCUUCAUCUUUCUCUAACAACGAUUGUUUGUGUGGAUCGCCAUUACGUACUUGUUAAUGGGUUUAUGUUUUGUAAUUAAUCGAAUUAUCGGUUGGUUACACAUAAUUGGGUGUGUAUUCUAUGUUGUAAUGGUGAAAUCUUCUCUUAAUGUCAUGUUUAGCUUAAAUACUGAAGUGUAAGUGUAACCUUGAAUUAUUGCUAAGCGACGGUUAUGAGGUUGCAUCAUGCAUGCACGUGAAGAUGUGUAAAAGUUUCCCACGAAGAAAAUUGUAUGCUUUUAUUAUUUGUAAAUCCCACGAACUUUUAUUUACUCAAUUAUUUGUUCUCUUUUUCCUACA